GAUGAACGCUGGCGGCAUGCCUAACACAUGCAAGUCGAACGAAAACACGGGGAGCUUUGGCCCCUGAGGUUGGCGCGGGACGGAAGAGUAACACAUGGAUAGCAUACCUAUAAGACUGGGAUGAUAACGGCGAACAGGGUCUACUACCGAAAAAUAUAUCGAACUGGAUGGUGCACGAGUUGAAGACGCUUUUUGUGACGGUAAUAGCCGACUCCGCGCCCGAUCAGUUAGUUGGUAAGGUAACGGCUUAACAAGGCAACGAUGCGUACCCGACCUGAGAGGGUGAUCGGCCACACUGGAACUGAGACACGGUCCAGACUCCGACGGGAGGAAGCAGUCGGGACUCUUCCGCGAUGGGCGAAAGCCUGAUGGAGGAACACCGCGUGAGUGAUGAAGGACUACGGCUGGUAAAGCGCUGUUGUUCGGAAAGAACAAAAGCUCAUGUAACUAUGCUGGUCUUGACGGUACCUAAAGAGUAAGCCCCGGCUAACUACGUG
rnacentral:rRNA from 1 species